rnacentral:rRNA from 1 species
CGUGAGGAACCUGCCUCGGAGUGGGGAAGUAACACAACGAAAGCUGUGCUAAUACCGCAUGAUACAGUUGGGUCGCAUGACUCUGACUGUCAAAGAUUUAUCGCUCUGAGAUGGCCUCGCGUCUGAUUAGCUAGUUGGUGGGGUAACGGCCCACCAAGGCGACGAUCAGUAGCCGGACUGAGAGGUUGACCGGCCACAUUGGGACUGAGACACGGCCCAGACUCCUACGGGAGGCAGCAUG